rnacentral:lncRNA from 1 species
AGUUUGCAGAGUGCUCUGGCUCUUCCCAGAAGGGACUCCCUAAAACCCUCCCAGGGGCUGCAGCAGAGGAUUCAAGAGCCUGCUCGGGAGCAGCAGCGUCUUGCCAGAAAGUGUUGUCCCCUUGUUAUUGGAGCCUGCUGCCCUGCUGCAGAGGUGACUUUGUUCCUCUUUUGCUGCUCUCUAGCUGAUGUAAGAAUCGUCCCGCUGAGGUGCAAGGAGCUAUCGGUGUGCGCCCACAUGCCUUUUACAACAGUGCAGGGUUGCAUAAAUGAGACUGCGAUGGCAUUCUUCCAGGCCAUCUCAAAAAGGCAGGACGUGGACUUUACCUUCAAGGCCAUUGGCAUUCUCUCCAUCCAAAACAAGGAAGUGACCAUGAGACUUUAUGAGGACUUUCUCCUCACGGUGGACGGCACUGGAAUGAGACUUUAUGAGGACUUUCUCCUCACGGUGGACGGCACUGGAAAGCUGCUGGAAGCCCUUCUCAGGCCUGAAAAGCAAGGGAUGUGCAARGCAUGCUGCUCCUUUUGACUCUCCAGCAAAACAGCUGUGGCUUCAACACCUCUUCCAAGAUCUAAAAAUAUUAUACUCUGCAGCCGCACAGCAUCAAAAGGCAGCAGCACAUUUCAAAGGCUGUUUCCUAGCCCACUGGGAACAGUCUGUUUUGAACAUGAAGAUUUUACAAGGCCUCCAAAUGUGCAGCAAUGGUGCAAUAAAAAUGUCCUGAAGCCACUAGGGCAUUUUAUGCUGCAGCUUCACAGUGACUUUUACGCUGUGGCUUUGUGGUGACUUUUUGCUGCUGCUGCUGGAAACUUUUCCGUGAUAGGGAGCAGCUGGGCUCAGCUACUGCUGGGAAAUAACAGAGCUGAAGUUAAAUGCUUGCCAGUGUGGGAAGGAUGCCGUGUCCAUGAAGGAGUUCAGUGAGGUGAGACACGUCCUGAGGAGCACUGAAUACUCUUGGAAUAAGAAGAAAAUGAUCUAAUCUUGCUGCAAGGUGCUGUCAGACUUGGCCUGGAGAGGAGGGGUCCAUGCCUCAUGCACAUCUCACAAAUCUAUCCAACAACCUCUGACCUCUCACAGCACAAACCACCAUGGGUUCCACACACCAGGGCUAGUCCUUGGGGGCAGUUCUCAGCAACCCUAACCCUAUUCCAGUCCUCUUUCCUUUGCAGUGUUCAACUACUGGAAAGCCUACUUUAAGCAAAGGGUUAUUUGUUUAGGACCAAAUCAAGCCAGCAAAAAAGAAAUCUGAACAAUAAAUACGUUCUCCAAAUGUGAAACCUGAUACCU